rnacentral:lncRNA from 1 species
UCACUAGCUAAAACAGAGCUCGAACCGCCUCUGUUUGAUUGGCCGGAAACAUCAUCCUCUCCCGGAGGAAGUACUGGUCCAACAGACCAUACCCUGUUGUGACCCAAAUCUUUCAUCAGAUGAUCCAAAUAAACAUUUUCCAAUUCCAUAAACGUAUUGAAAUCGAUUCCGUCACUCGCUAUAUUAGCGAGAUAGCAUUCUCUGAUGAAUUCCGAACUUGGGUCUCCUUCAACAUGACUCUGGUAAAUAGGAGAGAGCUGCCAAAAAGGGAAUUUCGGGGAAUUGGGGAUAUUGGGGAAGUGAAAAUAUUCGUUUUCAUCGUUGGGGGUUUUUCCUUUUGGGCAUUUCACGCCAAAGUGAAUAAACAACAGAUAGGACCAACGCGCCGGAGGGGGAGAAUACGUACCGGCGAAUACCGAGCUGGGUGGCGAUUUCGUGAGUAAACCCCAAAACAUAUCGGAAAUUAUGGCUGACGGCGGCGAAGGGUGGUUGCGGAACCAUUCCAAUAUGGGAUCUCGAAGUUUUCCGAGAUUGUACAUCAUGGAACGGAACCCAUUAGCAGGAAGGUCCUUGACGUUCUCUACGCCGGCAGGAAUUGAAGGGUGAGAUGGAAAAGGCAAAACGAGAGUUUUUAUUGAUGGGUUCCUCGAGAGAAGAGGGUCUAAGAUUGGGAGAUUUUUGGGGGUGACUAAAAUAGUGAUGGCUACUCCAUUGCUGACUAGCUGAUGAGUGAAAUCCAGAAGAGGAAGCAUAUGGCCUUGUGCUGGAUAAGGGAAGAUGAGAACAUGAGGGUGAUUUUCAGACAUUUUUCUCAGUUGCCGAUGAGGGGAGCCGCCGGACCGGCGUUCAGGCGCUGAAUAUUGGGAGAAGAAGAAAAGGAAAAUGGGAAAGUGAUUAAACUUUCAAGGCCAAAGAAACAAAUGUGUGAUUUGGUGGUUUCCUUUUUUUCUACUUAAUUAAGAGAGCAAAUGGAAAAUAAUUUUCUACCACAUUUUAUUUAAGUCAAUAACUCAUUAGUUGACCGACAACAUAAAACUAAUUAUUAUCUUGACCGUUGACUACUAUAUUUUUGAAUAUUUUUCUCUAGAGAGGAAAAAGUAAUUAAUACUCCAUGAUACUCUUUUAUUUCAAGCUAUAAAUAAUAUAGUCCACUUUUGAAUUUAACUAAUUUUUUAAAGUUAAAUUAGACUAUAUUAAUUCAUUUGAAUUUUUUUUUUAAAUGUUUAAAUUUUUCUGUAUAUCAAUGAGAUAAUAAAUUAUCACAAAAUGUUAGUAAAAUUCUUGUAGUUUGAUUCUAACAAAGAAAAUCAUGAUAAUUAAAAAUGAACGGAUGAAGUAUUCUUUAAACAAUAUUUCUUAUGUUCUUAUUUACCUAUCGUCUUUAAUAUUUGUCAUUUCAUAAAAUCAAUGCAUAAAUGAUAUUAUUUUUUCUAAUUUACCGUUGAAAGUUAUUAGAACUGAAAAUAUAUAUUUGACCAACGUAGAAAAAAUUAACUAAAUAAAUUUGCAUUCAUUGGUCAAAUUAACUAAUUAAAACAAAUCAACUCAUGUUCAUUGAUUGAAAACUUACCUAAUUUCUUAAAUGACGUGAAAUCUAAAAUGGUGACAACUAGGGCCUAAUUGUUCCAUUAAAAUUAAGACGUCUGAUUUUGAAUACGCAUGUGCAUUAAGAUUAUAGAUGCCUAGAUCGGAAUACACAUAUAAAUAUUAGGAUGUGGUCUCCAAAUCUCAAGACUAAAUGAUUAACUGAUUGUUUUCAAUAUGUGAAUAUGCAUAUGAAAUUAUAUAAAUUUGAGUGAUAUUAAAACUCUCUUACAGAUUUAAUUUGUUCAGAUAUUUUCAGAUCCAUGAAGAGGUUUUUUUUUUUUUUAAAUCGACUUAAUUGAGUGAAUUUAAAUGAUUAAGCUUCAACCUUAAAAUCAAGCACACUAAUUGGAUAAAUAUAAAUGAUGCAUUAAGCGUAACAAAUGAAGCCUAAAUUGGAACAUGGAAAGUGAUAUAUUUCAUUCCCGUAUGGUCCCAUUUGUUUGGUAUAAAGUCCACAAACAUAUACUUUUUUAAGGAUAAUUUUAAAAUUUUCCUAAAUCUUUUCACAUUUCUUAAACUUUAUUUUGUCAAAUUGUGUUAUAUAAAUUUACACGGGAAAGUAUUCGAUUGAAAAUAGAAAAAAUACUAAUUGCAAUCCAUAAAAGAUUCUUACCAUUAGAGCUAUAUAUGCCUAAAAGUUGAAGAGAUUAUAGAUAUUUUCCAUGACCAUCUUUAGAGGAGUAUUUAGUUAACAAUAUGCAAUCUUUUCAUUUGUCAAUCUGACAUGUGUUAAGUAUAUUUUACAUUGGGAAAAAGAACAAAAUAUAUCCUCGAACUUUCGAAAAUGGUAUGUCAAUACCCUCCGUCAUACUUUUCGUCCGUCGGUGCCCUUGCCGUCCAAUAAUCAGUGCACAUUUGCCCCUCUCACUAACGGAACAUUCAUUUUGUACACGUGGCACUAUCCUAAGCAAUAAUCCGAAUUGAUCAAUUAUUUAACCCAAAUUUUAAAAACCCACCCAUAAUCCAUUUAACCCACCCGAUUAACCCACAACAAAUUAUGAACCAAGUUCAGCCAAUGUAGACACCAAAAGAACCUAUGGAAUUUCUAUCCAGUUCUUGAAGUCUCUAAAGCUUUAGAUCCUCUCAAGUUUUAUCUAAAUCACUUUUUCCUGCAGCCCCUUCUUAUAUUGGGAGUGGUAAAGGUAUUUUACCGGAGGAUAUUGCCGCCUAGUUAGAUGAAUCAGCCAUUGUUUUCGGUAACCCUUUUUCUUUUGCAUCUUUUAAAACUUUUCAGCUUAUUUAUGGAACACAUUAUGUCUGCAAAUACCUCUUUUCACUGAUAUGUUUUUUAUGGGGGGAAAAACAAAGAAAUUUGGUAAUUUGACUUUUUUUGUUUGUUUAUUUUUGUUUUCAAUUGAAACUCAUUUAUUUAUUUUUGGAGUUUUUUUGGUGGGUUUUACUUUUUUUUAAAAAAUUUAUGGGAAAAUCAACAGCUUCUUGAAAUAAGCUGAGUUUGGGGACAUUAAUGGUGACACAACUGUUACUUUAUGAUUUCUUGAAAUCAUUGAUAAGUGUAUUGAAUUUAUUUUUGCUUUUAAGAGAGACCGUUUUUACUCUCUUCGGAUUUUGCUUUGAUUAUUUUAAUAAUUUAACAUCCACCGACAAUCAUUCUCUCCAUUUUCUCUGUUAUAAGAAAAACAUUCAAUUAUUUGUCUUUUCGUUUUUGGUGUUGUGAAAUUCAGCUACCAUGGAGAUUCCAUGGAUUUAGAGCUGAAGGUUUGAGCUCUGCAGAAGAGGAAGAAAGGAAAUAAUUGGGAUUGAAAAUAUCUUUUAUUGCUCUCUUCUGAAAAACUGAAUUACAAUUGUACAGCGAUGCUACUUAUAUACAGCUAAUCAACUUGAUUCUUAAUUACAUUAAUCCUGCUUCUAACUAUCUAACUGUAAUUAGGAAGCUAACUAACUUCUCUGAUUGUUACUAACUAACUGCCACAUCACUGGGGUCAACAUGUGUUCUGUAAUUUUCAAAUCCUUAAUGAUCCCAUUUUUCUAUAAUUUUUAGUACUAUCUAUUAUUUCAUUGGUUGAUUUUUAUAUAUGUGGUGUACAUCAGCAGGAUGUUUCACCACACACAUCUGGACGGCUCUCUCAUAGUAAUGGACCUUUAAAUGGUGGCUCUCUUCCAUGGGUUCUUUUGUGUCUCCGACGGUGAUGGCCGAUAUAUUGGCAGAACUUUGGUCCAUAGUUUAUUUGUGGGUAAAUUGGGUGGAUUAAAUUGGUUAUGGGUGGGUUUUUGAAAUUUGGGUUAAAUAAUUGAUCAACUCGGGUGGUGGCUUAGGAUUGUGCCACGCGUACAAAAUGAGUGGUCCGUUAGUGGGAGGGGAAAAUAUGCACCGAUUAUUGGACGGCAAGAGCACUGAUGGACGAAAAGUAUGACGGAGGAUAUUGGCAUACCAUUUUUGAAAGAUCGGGGGUAUAUUUGUCCUUUUUCCCUUUUACAUUUGAGGAAAUCUAUUUUUAUUUUUUACGAUCUGAUUUUUUUCUAACCCAUUUGAGAAGUUAUUGACUUCUACAAACUUUAAAAUGUAUUUCCUUAAAUCAAAAGAAUUUAAAACACAUUUAAAGUUUUUUUCCAUAGUUUUAUAUUGAAUAGUUAAGUGUGCGAGUAGUUUCAUAUUAAAUUAUUGAGUAUGUGAGUUUUUCAUCUGAAUUGUAAUCAACUACUUAUGGAAACACAUUUUAACUAUCAUUUUUUCUCUUUUGUAUCUAAAAUAUCACCAUUGUUUGAAAAAUGAUCAAAUUUAUAAAAAAAAAAUAUAAAUUCAAGGGAAACAUAACCUUAAAAAUGAUAAGUUUGAAAAUUAUCUCUAUCUUAUUUUACAAAUAUUUGAUUCAAAUUAUAUUUCCUAUCACCAAUCAAUCAAAGUAUGCUUCUGUUUUGAUAUAGAUGUUUGUUGUAGCAAGGUCUUUAGUAGCCUUAAAAAUCUAUUAAGUCCUAAUUUAUAUGAUACAUUUUCUAAAAUUAGUUUUCAAAAAAUGAUAUGCAUUUUAAUAAAUAUUUAAUGACACUACUAAUAUUUUAUUCAUAUCACAAAUAUAUUUGACAAAAAAAUCAAUAAAGUUGUAUAUUUUUUAGAAUGAUUUCAAAACAUGGCAAAGUCUUUUGAUACUACCAAAACUUUGUCUCAAGUCAAUUAUAUCACAAUAUAAUAAAUGUUAAUAAAGUUCCAAAUUCAUCUACAUCAAAUUAAUUAUUCUGUUUAGUUACUUUUAGUGGUCCAAAUAAACAUCUCGAUCAUAAUUAGGGUGAAAAUUGUUUUCACAAUGGACAUGUACGAAAAAUUGGAGUAUGAGAAACGAAAUUCCACAAGCAUCUUUGUUAGGUGAAAUCCCUUAAUUAUCAUUUAGGAAAAAGGUAAAUUUUGCACACUUAUUAAAAGGCAAAGAAGAUAACAAAUCAUAUUAAUGGUAGUAAGUAGCACAUUUAUCAUCAUAUCUUGUCACUGUCAAAUUUUAUUUUGUAUGCUCAAUUCAAUUUUUUCAUCAUAUUUGUUUUUAUUGUGGUGAAUUUCAAUACCUAAUUAUGUCUACUCAAACAAUAAAUUAUCCUUAACCAUCAAUCACGGUUACAUUAAUUGUUCACUCAAGGACACAAUAGUGAAGUUUCUUCUUAAUAGUGUAAACAAGAAAAAACUUAGGGGAACAAGCAGAACUUAUUUGCGCCCACCAUUAACAUAAACAUUACUACUCCAUCCCAGCAACGAUAGUUUUUCAUUGCAGACAUAGAUUGCACGAUCAAGAUUAAAGUGUCCAUCCGUUCGGUAAGUCAGCGAGUCGUCAUCUUAUCUUGAACGAGCAUCGUCAGCCCCAUCACUUCCUCAUCCUCAACUUCUAGAGGAGUGGAGGAGACUUGUUUUGACCUUUGCUCUGACUUCUUCUCAUCUAAGCAAUUGCUUUGGCCUACAAAAGCUAUUGUCAUACAAUUUGAAUUUUGAGAGUCAAACGGUUAAAUUUAAAUUGGAACAUUGAAUUUUAUGUUUUUUUGAAUAAAAUUUUAUUUUUCAAAACUACUUUUACAUGUGCUAACAAGAAUUCAAAGAGCCAACAAUAAUUAACCAGUUGAAUCACAAUCAUUUACAUAGUUCAGCUCAUUCUAACAAAUUAUGUGUGUGAAACAUCUAUAGUUCCGAGAAAUAAUUAUCACCAACUAACUAUCAAUAAUCCCCCUUGCCCUACUAAACCUCGAGUACAUUUCACUAAACUUUUUUUUAACUAAUUGAUAUUAUGAAGGAUUAGGAUUUGGUUUUGAUUAAGUAAAACUUUGAAAAAUAUUCUUCUUGAAAACAUUUGGAAUUGGGCCUACUAAAUCUAGUCCAUCACAUAGCUCACCAAACCCAAUGUAAUUUAUGGACAUUUUAAACUACGGCCUAAAGAUCGCUUUUGAUCAAGCUAACAAACUUAUCAGAAAACAUUAAUUCACAUUCUAAAAUUUUAUAGAUAUUAGAUGGUAAUUUAAUAUUUUGCCACUUCUAGAGAUUUUCAAGAACAUGGACAAAAUAUGAACGAAGACUUAAAAGGUGAUAGUUGCGUAAUACUUCAGCCAGAUGUAUCAGUUUUGAAAUAACAAUAAUUAAUAAUUUCACACCAAAUUUCAAAUCGAAUAUACCUGAAUACACGUAUUUUACCUAUCAUAUACUUUUUGAAAUAUAGAUACAUAGGGAGAGAGACGAGCUAGAAUUAUACAUAACUUUGUCUUUCAAAUAUCUGAAUUACAUUUAUUUGAAUGUGUAAUAUACAUGUGUUUGAGGGCCCAAAUCUGAUAGGAAUGAUAAUUUAGAAAAGUCAUGAGAAGACACGUAGCUAGGCAUAAGUUAAUGAAGUACCGCCAAAGAAGAGUAGAAGCACGUGCUAUCACGUACCUUAAUUUGGGUUGUUGAUGGUGUUAUGUUGUUUUUCAUGUAUCUCCCAAAUUAUGCCCAUAAUAUAUGGUUAUUCAUUUGGUUUAUAGUUAUUUAAAAUUGGAUCUAAUAUGAAAUGACUUUUACUUAUUUCUUUACAUAAUAAAAAGUAAUAAUAAUAAUAUUAUUUAGUUGUCCUUCGGGAUGUCUCAGUUAGUUUGGAGGGUGAUUAUCCACACGGAUGACCCGGGAUUGAUCCACCCUUAAUGUUUUCUGAGUCGAGCAUGUCGCAUAGGGCUUGCCUAGUGCGGUUUACAUUCUCUGUGUGGUUUGUAGGCUAUCACACAGUGGGGAUUUAUCCAGUGCUCACCCGAAGAAGGGCAGAGGUUGUAGCGACUGCGGGUUAUCCUGAGGUUCCAAAAAAAAAUAUUAUCUAGUUAAUUUAUCCAUUUAUAUAUCAGCUCAUUUGUCACCCUUGCUCAUGUUGAAUUCAUGCCCUUCUUAGUUUCUAUUUCAAUUUAAUAGUCAAAUUAUUAAGUCGAAUGCUUAGUUAGUUUGGAUAUACAUCAGAUACACCUACUAAAAGAAAAAUACACUCCAUAGAAAAAAAAAUUAGUUCGACAAUGUUUUUUAAUUACAAAAAAACUUCUUAUAAAAAGAUUUGGGAAAUUGUUUAAAUAUAACCACUUUUAUAUUCGAGUUAAAGAAAAUAAUAUAGGGAAUAUCAUAUUAAUUCACGUAAUAUCUUGUGAUUGAGAAGAACAAAAGUUGUCAUAUAUACAAUCAUAAUAGUUUUGUGAUUUACAAUAGUAUAUGCAAUUGAUCUCCAAAUUUUUCAAUGUAAAAGAUUCUAACCUAAAAAGUUUAGUGAAGGAUGGAAAGAUGAUUAUCUCGCCAUGUAUUUACGCACAUUUCCUUAUUUUUCUUUUGAUUUAUUCCGUCUAAUAUUUGGAGAUUAAUUAUUUAUUAAAUUAACUCAUUGUUUCAAUUUCAAACUUGAAAUUUAAAAUCUAAAUUUUGAAAAUAGGUUUUAGAAAAUUUUCAAGAAAAUUCAACUGUUUUUCGUUAAGUCAUGUUUUCAUGUCACAUAUUAAACUUCGAUAUAUCCCUUUUCGUUUAACUUCAAAUACAAUUUCUUUUGAAAUCUCAACCAAUUCAUGUCCAAACACCUAUCUGAUUUUUUGGGUUGCUUUUUAUAUGUGAUUCCAAAAGUAACCCCAACUAUCACGGUCCGGAACCAAAAGGAAAAUUAAACAUUUUGAAAAUUUCAAAAGGGCAACUAAAUUAUUUAUCAAACCAAAAGGGCAAUUAAUUUUAGCGGCGUUUAAAUCAGGGUUUCCGCCACAAAGCGCAGAAACCCAUGCGCCUUACAAGGCUAUGGCAGCUUUUAGCCUCACAAGGCGCAGGCCCACCUGCGUUUUGCAGGGCUGUUUUUUUAACAUUUUCUGAAUUGAGUAAAAAAUUGUGAAACGAAUUCCAUUUUAACAUAUGAAUUUAUACAAAUUAGUAAAUUUGAAUCCUAAAUUAAAAAAAAAAAACUUCAAUGCUUUAUGAUUAUGAUUCCACCGAUGUAAAUAGUCGAAACAAAUAAAAAAAAUUAAAAAGUAUAUAUAUAAAAAGCAUAAACUAAAAAUUCGAAAAAAAAAGUAAAACAAAAAAUUAAAAAAGUCACAAGUAUACAUACCCCUUGCGCCUUGUUACUUUCAUUAUAUUUUCACGUGAAACUUUCAGUGUUGAAUCAAAUCAACACUGUAGUUUUGUGUGUUAUUUUUUUUACAGUGUUGAAUUAAAUUAACAAUUUAAAAGUUUCACACGGUAUAUAUUUCAACGAAAAUAUAAAAUAAAAUACUUUAAUUAGUGGUCAAAAAUUAUUAGAUAAAGUGAAUAAAAAUAAUUAAAUAAAUAUUGUAUUUAAAUUACAAAUAAAAAAAAUAAAAAAAUAUAUAAAUAAAAAGCAUAAACUAAAAACAAAAAAUCGGUGGAAUCAUAAUCAUAAAGCAUUGAAGUUUCUUUUUUGAAUUAGGAUUCAAAUUUAUUAAUUUGUAUAAAUUCAAAUCCAAAAAAAUAAUUCGAUUCGCAAAUUUUUACUUAAUUCAGAAAAUUAAUUAUUUUUUUGAAAAAAAAAAAUAGCCUGCAAAAUGCAGAUGGUCUUGCGCCUUGUAAGGCUAACAUCUGACAUAGCCUUGUAAGGCGCUUGAAUUUCUGCGCCUUGCGACGAAAAUCAUGAUUUAAAUGUCGUUAAAAUUAGUUACCCUUUUAAUUUGAUAAAUAUUUAAAUUGUCCUUUUGAAAUUUUCAAAAAAAAUUGUUGUAAUUUUGAUUCAAAAUUCCCAACUAUCAUAUCAUAGGACUUACACACUGAGGUCAUGAGUGACAAUGCCACUACUGUUUGUACUAGUUUACCAGUACUACACUUCAUAUAUUGUUUCAUGACACUUCCAAUUUCCAACCAUAUAUUGACCCGGCAAUGUUCUUUGCCGUACUGAUCGUGCCUAUAUGGAGCCCAAGAUCAUCUCCAACCCCGCUCUAUUUUACUCUCCAUUCUUUAUAUUUUGAGAGUAAAAUAGAGAAUGUACUCUCUAACCACCCUCUAAAUGACUCUUUAUUCUCCAUUUAUAGAGAGGUGAAUAGUAGUUCUCCAUUUGACCUCUCUAUUUUACUUUUUCAUUAUUUUAUUAUUAUUAUUUUAUAGUUAACAUAUUAUUUUUCAUAUAAGACCAUUAAUUAUAUCUCUAAUAUUACUAAUUCAUUUUAAAUGUAAUAUAACAUUUAAAUAUAUAUAUUAUUUAAUAUAUACUAUUUUCAUCCGAAUUAAUAAUGUUUCAAUUUUUUUAAUUUUCGUCACUUUAAUAUAGUUUGAUAUCAUUAUUAAUUUUCACUAUGAAGAAUGCACAAAAUUAAAAUGAUAAGAUGAAAAUUUUAAUUUAAAAAUACAAUAUAUGACAUAAUAAUGUAAAUACAAGAUAACAAUACAUAACAUAAUGAUUUUAUCACAACGAUAAUUUAGUAAUUCAGUAGGUCAUUUUUCAGAUUUAACAAUAUUCGAAAAAAAUUAAUGUAUGAUCCACAUAAUUAGUGUAGUUGUGAUUGCGGUUGUGCUUAUUGUUUUCUUUUUUCAAUUAUCCGUAGUUGUUCUUAUUGCAUGAAAAUCUCCUAUUUGAACAAUCUUUAGCUAAACAUAAAAUAAUUAAGGAUAAAAAUGCUCAUUUUGAACUCCGUAAUGCAUUAAUAGAGUAUUUUUGGGAGCAAUGUAAUAAUCUUCAUUAAUAAUUUCACUUUUAUUUGAAUUGUCUAUUAAUUUGUAUAUCAUAUAAUAUUAACUUGCAAUUUAUGUUAUUUAUAAAAUUUAGGAAAAAUAUAAUUUUAUAUUAAGUAAAGAGUUUGAAAAAAUAAUUUUUUAUAUUACAUAAAAUUAUAUAAGUGAUUAUUUGAAAAAAAAAAAAAUUAUUUGUAUCAUGAAAUAGGAAAAUAAGAAUGAAAUAGAAAUAAUAAUAUAAUAUUGAGGAGAGAGAAAAAUAUUACUGUAUUUUUUAAAGAGAAAUAAAGAAUUGAGUUGGAGAUGGUUGUUACUGUAUUUUUUAAAGAGUAAAAUAGAGAAUUAAGUUGAAGUUGGUUGUUUGGAAAAAUAGAAAACUUUAUAUUUGGAGUAUAAUCUCUCGUGGAUUUGGAGUAUAAUCUCUCGUGGGGAUUUGAAGGGUAGAAUUUUCGCAAGCUUAAUUAUAUUAGUUAUGCAGCUGGCGAAGCAUGCCUUCUCGCCCUCGUUCACAAUAUAAGUUAACAUUUCGCCCUAGCCCUGCACCAACUCUUCCAACCACAAACAAGAUAUAUACUUACUUAACAAUGAUUCUUCAACUUAAUUAAAUAAAUAUUUUUUCCUAACUAUCACCAUCAUUCAAAAUAAAAGAUGAAGCAACGACCAAGAAGUUUGAACAAGAAAAAUACUACUCAAUAUAAUAUGAAGUAAGACAACGCAUAUAUUGUGGCGAAAUGACCUUAUGGACCCUUAUACUGAUAUAAGUUUGUAUUUUGAGCCCUUCUAUUUGACCUUUUGUCAACUGAAUCCUAAAACUUAAUUAAAAUGAGACUUUUAAAUCUCUUUAGUCAUGUGUGUAGCUCACUCUCUCUUAAGAUAAAAUGACGUGUCAUAUCCACGUCACAUAUAUUAAUGUCACUUCAUAAUUAAUUCAUAACUAUUUUAAAAUUAUUAACCAAAAAUGUUACUCCACAAAAGACAAAAAUAAUAAGUUUUCUAUUUUAAAAAAUAAAAUAGUUAUUUCUUCACAUUUCCUUCUCAUUCCUCAACCCACAACCACCCUUAACACCAUCUCUAUUCUCCUUAAAAAAAAUUCUUCUUCAGGUUCUAUUACCGUGACAAGGCCCUUCAAGUUCUUAAAAAUCAUAGUUCAGUUUUUCUCAAAGUUUUUAUCAUUGCAAAUCUUAAUCGUAACCAUCUACCAUCAUUUGAACCACCAUAAAUCAUUUUUCACUUUUGAUGCCAAUAAAUCACCAUUAAAAGAAUUCAAUAUAUCAUAAUAUUUGUACACAAUUUUACAUAACACAUUUCACCUAAUUUCACAAAGAUAUCCAACAAUUACUUUUCAUCCUUCAAAACUAGAGUUGUCAAAAUGGGCUGAACCAACCUAACCAAACCCUAGCGGGCUAGAGAGUUAAAUGAGUUGGGACGGGCUGACCCUUUUAAUUAAAGGGCCUAUAAAAUAGCAGCCCAACCCAGCCCUAAGCGGGCCACGGGUUGGGACGGAUUGGCCCUUCAACCAAAAAAGAUUACUCUCUUAGAAAGAGUAUGUAAGAGUAUCGAACGUUGACGUCUACAAACACGACAUCAAUACAUACAAAUUUUCAUUUAUGAAUCACACACUUCGAUGAAUACUUACAAAAAUACAUUUAUGAAUCACACACUUCGGUGAAUACUUACAAAAAUACAUAAUAGUCAACUUAAGAUUUAACGGAAAAAUGUUGAUCGUUCCGCCAUUCCUCCCACAAAAAACUAGAUAGUUUAAAAGACUUGAUUUUUUAUUUUUAAAAAUAUUUAUUGAUAAAAACUUUACAAAUAAAACACUACUAAAAAUAUAUAUAUAAAAUAAUCAUAGCCCACGAGCUGGCCUCUGAGUCUUGCGGGUUAGGCCUAUGAGGCUAGCGGCCAACUGAGGCUGGGCUAAAAACCUCAUUCCUAGCGGGCCAAGCCUAUUUUGACAACUCUAUUCAAAACUAUUGGAUCUUUGUCACCUCAUGGGUUUUAAAUUACCAAAAAAAUGAAAAGAUUACAUAUAUCUACAUCACCAAUACAUUAUCGUUUCUCAAAAUGAAAGAAAAUAUGAAAAAAAAAUUAAAAAAAAUAAGAGAAUAGAGAAGUUGGAGAGGUCUGGGAAGGGGAAAAAAGAGAGAAAUAAGGGUUGGUGGGGAAGGAAAAGAAGAAAGCAGUAAAAAAAAUAUUUUUAAUUUUCUUAUUUUUGUUUUGUUUUUUAAAAAAAUAUUUUUAGUCUAAAUUUUGAUGUUCACGUCCCUUCAACGCUUGAUAUCACGUAGUUGUGCCAACUCAAUAAUUAAGUUGCCACAUAAACUUGGUCAAUAAUCAGAAGGGCUUAGAAUAUUGAAUUUGAUUGAAUUUAAUGGUUUAGUUGAAAAAUGGUCAAAUAGAAGAAUUCAUAAUAUAAACUAGUACAAAUAUAAGGAUCCUUUUUUUCAUUUUUUGUAAAUAGCUUUGAAAGCAUUUUAGUCAUUUAACACAAGGAUUUUUUCACCAAACAUUUUAAUUGCAUAUUAUUAGAUUCACCAAACAUAUUUGCUUAUCAUUAGAUUCAACGUUGAAAUUUGCAAACACUUACCCAUAAUGUUUAUUUCCAUAUCUAAUAGAUAAAAUAAUCUAUGCUUACAUAUUGGUAUUGUAAACGAUAAAUCCAACGAAGUAGCCUUUCUAGAAUUUUUAAUUGCCUCAAAAGUUUGUUUCGAUUUUUGUUGCCUCCUCCCUUAAUUUUUUUACGAACGCUGCCAAAUCUUUGAAUGAGUGCCCACCUUCUUCAAUGCCAUUAAUUGCAACUUUUCGUAGCUCCGAUGCACGAAGUCUUCGCUCUUCUACCUUGUUUCCUUGCACAGCUUCCGCCAGUAACUUAGCCAAUUCGUCCGAAUUUGGUACCGUUUGCGCACCUUCACAAGCUCUAAUAGCUACCUCAUGCUCGUCAACUAAAAGGUUCGCAUUGGCAAAUUGGUCAGCACCCAUCGGCCAUGUUAACAUUGGUACACCGGCUAUUAAACUUUCGAGAGUCGAAUUCCAACCACAGUGAGUUAAGAAUGCGCCUAUAGCUUGGUGUUUUAAAAUCAACACUUGCGGGGACCAGUCUCUAACAACCAGGCCCCGUCCAGCCACUUUUUCCUCAAACCAAGACGGAAUCACGCCGUAAUCAUUUGAAGCGUGUCCUUUGGUGGCUCUUUUUGCUGACAAAAUGAACUUGACACCACUUUUGUCCAAAGCUAUGGCUAAUUCCUCCAUUUGUUUGUUUGUUAGCACAGCUUGACUGCCGAAACAGAUGUAUACAACCGAGUGAUCUUCACAUUUGUCGAGCCAUGCUAGUAUUUCACUAGCUAAAACAGAGCUCGAACCGCCUCUGUUUGAUUGGCCGGAGACAUCAUCUUCUCCCGGAGGAAGUACUGGUCCAACAGACCAAACCCUGUUGUGACCCAAAUCUUUCAUCAGAUGAUCCAAAUACACAUUUUCCAAUUCCAUAAACGUAUUGAAAACGAUUCCGUCACUUGCUAUAUCAGCGAGAUAGCAUUCUCUGAUGAAUUCCGAACUUGGGUCUCCUUCAACAUAACUCCGGUAAAUAGGAGAGAGCUGCCAAAAAGGGAAUUUCGGGGAAUUGGGGAUAUUGGGGAAGUGAAAAUAUUCGUUUUCAUCGUUGGGGUUUUUCCUUUUGGGCAUUUCACGCCAAAGUGAAUAAACAACAGAUAGGACCAACGCGCUCGAGGGGGAGAAUACGUACCGGCGAAUACCGAGCUGGGUGGCGAUUUCGUGAGUAAACCCCAAAAACAUAUCGGAAAUUAUGGCUGACGGCGGCGAAGGGUGGUUGCGGAACCAUUCCAAUAUGGGAUCUCGAAGUUUUCCGAGAUUGUACAUCAUGGAACGGAACCCAUUAGCAGGAAGGUCCUUGACGUUCUCUACGCCGGCGGGAAUUGAAGGGUGAGAUGGAAAAGGCAAAACGAGAGUUUUUAUUGAUGGAUUCCUGGAGAGAAGAGGGUCUAAGAUUGGGAGAUUCUUGGGGGUGACUAAAAUAGUGAUGGCUACUCCAUUGUUGACUAGCUGAUGAGUGAAAUCCAGAAGGGGAAGCAUAUGGCCUUGUGCUGGAUAAGGAAAGAUGAGAACAUGAGGGUGAUUUUCAGACAUUUUUCUCAAUUGCCGAUGAGUGGAGCCGCCGGACCGGCGUUCAGGCGCUGAAUAUUGGGAGAAGAAGAAAAGGAAAAUGGGAAAGUGAUUAAACUUUCAAGGCCAAAGAAACAAAUGUGUGAUUUGGUGGUUUCCUUUUUUUCUACUUAAUUAAGAGAGCAAAUGGAAAUAAUUUUCUACCACAUUUUAUUUGAGUCAAUAACUCAUUAGUAGACCAACAACAUUUAACUAAUUAUUAUCUUGACCGUUGACUACUAUAUUUUUGAAUAUUUUUCUCUAAAAUGGAAAAAGUAAUUAAUACUCCAUGAUACUCUUUUAUUUCAAGCUAUAAAUAAUAUAGUCCACUUUUGAAUUUAACUAAUUUUUAAAGUUAAUUUAGAUCAUAUUAAUUUGAUAUUUUGAAUAAAAAUUUUAAAUGUUUAAAUUUUUCUGCAUAUCAAUGUGAUAGUAAAUUAUCACAAAAUGUUAGUCAAAGUUCUUGUAGUUUGACUCUAACAAAGAAAAUCAUGAUAAUUAAAAAUGAACGGAUGAAGUAAUCUUUAAACAAUAUUUCUUAUGUUCUUAUUUAAUUAUCGUCUUUAAUAUUUGUCAUUUCAUAAAAUCAAUGCAUAAAUGAUAUUAUUUUUUCUAAUUUACCGUUGAAAGUUAUUAGAACUGAAAAUAUAUAUUUGAUCAACAUAGAAAAAAAUAAGUAAACAAAUUUCCAUUCAUUGGUCAAAUUAACUAAUUAAAACAAAUCAACUCAUGUUCAUUGAUUGAAAACUUACCUAAUUUCUUAAAUGACGUGAAAUCUAAAAUGGUGACAACUAAGGCCUAAUUUGUUUCAAUUAAAAUUAAGACGUCUGAUUUUGAAUACGCAUGUGCAUUAAGAUUAUAGAUGUCUAGAUCGGAAUACACAUAUAAAUAUUAAGAUGUGGUCUCCAAAUUUUAAGACUAAAUGAUUAACUGAUUGUUUUCAAUAUCUGAAUAUGCAUAUGAAAUUAUAUAAAUUUGAUUGAUAUUAAAACUCUCUUAAAGAUUUAAUUCGUUCAGAUAUUUUCAGAUCCAUGAAGAGGUUUGUUUUUUUUUUUUACUAUGGACUUAAUUGAGUGAAUUUAAAUGAUUAAGCUUCAACCUUAAAAUCAAGCACAUUUAAUAGGAUAAAUAUAAAUGAUGCAUUAAGCGUAACAAACGAAGCCUAAAUUGGAACAACGAAAGUGAUAUAUUUCAUUCCCGUAUGGUCCCAUACUCCCAUUUGUUUGGUAUAAAGUCCACAAACAUAUAUUUUGUUAAGGAUAAUUUUAAAAUUUUCCUAAAUCUUUUCACAUUUCUUAAACUUUAUUUAGUCAAAUUGUGUUAUAUAAAUUUACACGGGAAAGUAUUCGAUUGAAAAUAGAAAAAAUAUUAAUUGCAAUCAAUAAAAGAUUCUUACCAUUAGAGCUAUAUAUGCCUAAAAGUUGAAGAGAUUAUAGAUAUUUUCCAUGACCAUCUUUAGAGGAGUAUUUAGUUAACAAUAUGCAAUCUUUUCAUUUGUCAAUCUGACGUGUGUUAAGUAUAUUUUACAUUGGGAAAAAGAACAAAUAUAUUCUCGAACUUUCGAAAAUGGUAUGUCAAUACCCUCUGUCAUACUUUUCGUCCGUCACUGCCAUUGCCGUCCAAUAAUCAGUGCACAUUUGCCCCUCCCACUAACGGAACAUUCAUUUUGUACACGUGGCACUAUCCUAAGCCAUAAUCCGAAUUGACCAAUUAUUUAACCCAAAUUUUAAAAAUCCACCAUAAUCCAUUUAACCCACCCGAUUUACCCACAACAAACUAUGAACCAAGUUCAGCCAAUGUAGACACCAAAAGAACACAUGGAAUUUCUAUCAAGUUCUUGAAGUCUCUAAAGCUUUAGCUCCUCCGCAAGUUUUAUCUAAAUCACUUUUUCCUGCUGCCCCUUCUUAUAUUGGGAGUGGUAAUGGUAUUUUACCGGAGGAUAUUGCCGCCUAGUUAGAUGAAUCAGCCAUUGUUUUCGGUAACCCUUUUUCUUUUGCAUCUUUUAAAACUUUUCAGCUUAUUUAUGGAACACAUUAUGUCUGCAAAUACCCCUUUUCACUGAUAUGUUUUUUAUUGGGAAAAAAACAAAGAAAUUUGGUAAUUUGACUUUUUUUGUUUGUUUAUUUUUGUUUUCAAGUGAAACUCAUUUUUUUAUUUUUGGAGUUUUUUGGUGAGUUUUACUUUCUUUUUUUGAAUUAAUGGGAAAACCAACAGCUUCUUGAAAGAAGCUGAGUUUGGGGACAGUAAUGGUGGACAUUAAUGGUGACACAACUGUUACUUUAUGAUUUCUUGAAAUCAUUAACAAGUGUAUUGAAUUUAUUUUUGCUUUUAAGAGAGACCGUUUUUACUCUCUCCGGGUUUUGCUUUGAUUAUUUUAAUAAUUUAACAUCCACCAACAAUCAUUCUCUCCAUUUUCUCUGUUAUAAGAAAAACAUUAAAUUAUUUGUCUCUUCGGUUUUGGGGAUCUGUAAUUUUUAAAUUCUUAAUGAUCCCAUUUUUCUAUAAUUUUUAGUACUAUCUAUUAUUUCAUCGAUUGAUUUUUUUAUAUGUGGUGUACAGCAGCAGGAUGUUUCACCACGCACAUCUGGACGGCUCUCUCAUAGUAAUGGACCUUUAAAUGGUGGAUCUCUUACAUGGGUUCUCAGGGGCGGCUCAACGUAAUCGGAGGCCUAAAACGAAAUCUUAAUUAGAGGCCUAAAAUCUAAAUAAACUUCACAUGCAUUUAUUUAAAAUUUAUUUUUCUUACAUUUUUAAAUGCAAAGUAUUACUUAAUAAUUUUUUUUAUAUAUAAAUGAUUUAUUCGAUUUCUUUUUCAAUUAUUAAGUUUUAAAUAAGAUUUUAUUAAUUCAACGUUGAAAAAUAUUAUUUUACUCGGGCAAGCAUUAUAUGAAUUGUUAACAUAGUUCUACAAGUAAUAAGUUGACAAAUUUCAAAUAAAUAUAAGAGUUAGAACCAUAGCUUUGAUGAAGUUGAUAAUUUGGUUACCCCACAUUUUACUAUGGUUGUUGUAAUGCUUGAAAAUCUAAGAAGAAAUGGAAAAAGAAUUUACAAUUCAAUUUGUUCAACACUUUUCGACUAUUAAAUGAUAUUUUUGAUAAAAUAUUACUCUAAUUUAUCAACAAUUUAAAGAAGAGUGUAAAAGGAGUUAAAAAGAAAAUAAUGUGAGUAUUAGUAGAGAGAGUGUAAGAAAAUAAAACAAUAUUUUCUUGAUUUUUUCUAUUUGAAUUGGGUUGAAGAGAAUAAAAUAAUAAUUUUAAAUAUAUACUUUUUAUUAUAAAUAAUAGCCCUGUGGGUUCUUUUGUGUCUCCGACGGUGAUGGCCGAUUUAUUGGCUGAACUUAGGUCCAUAGUUUAUUUAUGGGUAAAUUGGGUGGGUUUAAUUGGUUAUGGGUGGGUUUUUGAAAAUUUGGAUUAAAUAAUUGAUCAACUCGGGUUGUGGCUUAGGAUUGUGCCACGUGUACAAAAUGAGUGGUCUAUUAGUGGGAGGGGCAAAUAUGCACCGAUUAUUGGACGGCAAGAGCACUGAUGGACGAAAAGUAUGACGGAGGAUAUUGGCAUACUAUUUUCGAAAGAUCGCGGGUAUAUUUGUCCUUUUUCCCUUUUACAUUUGAGGAGUUCUAUUUUUAUUUUUUACGAUUUGAUUUUUUUCUAAACCAUUUGAGAAGUUAUUGACUUCUACAAACUUUAAAAUGUAUUUCCUUAAAUCAAAUGAAUUUAAAACACAUUUAAAGUUUUUUUCAUAGUUUUAUAUUGAAUAGUUAAGUGUGAGAGUAGUUUCAUAUUAAAUUAUUGAGUAUGUGAGUUUCUUAUCUGAAUUGUAAUCAAAUACUUAUGGAAACACAAUUUAACUAUCAUUUUUUCUCUUUUGUAUCUAAAAUAUCAUCAUUGUUUGAAAAAUGAUCAAGUUUUUAAAAAAAAAUAUAAAUUCAAGGGAAACAUAACCUUAAAAAUGGUAAGUUUGAAAAUUAUCUCUAUCUUGUUUUACAAAUAUUUGAUUCAAAUUUGUAUGUCCUCACCAAUCAAUCAAAGUAUGCUUCUGAUUUGAUAUAGAUGUUUGUUGUAGCAAGGUUCUUUAGUAGCCUUAAAAAUCUAUUAUGUCUUAAUAUAUACGAUACAUUUUUUAAGAUUAAUUUUUAAAAAAUGAUAUAUGCAUUUUGAUAAAUAUUUAAUGACACUACUAAUAUUUUAUUCAUAUCACAUAUUUGACAAAAAAAAAUCAAUAAAGUUGCCACAUAAGUUUGGUCAAUAGUCAGAAGGGCUUAAAAUAUUAAGUUUGAUUGAAUUUAAAGGUUCAGUUGAAAAAUGAUCAAAUAGAAGAAUUCAUAAUAUAAGCUCGUACUAUAUUGUUGAAUGUUAAAGAAAGUUUGUGGAAAAUACAAAAAAGCAGACCAAAUAUAUCCACUAGCCUGACCUACAACAUUGGAAAAGUCGGUAACGUCGAUCACUAUGAGGGUAGUUGGUUUAAUUUAUAAUAACGAUUUGACUUUAUAUACUAUUCCUAUUAGACAAUUAUAUUUAAAAAAUAAAAUACUUAUAAACAAAAGUCCUUUUUUUCAUUUUUUGUAAAUAGCUUUGAAAGCAUUUUAGUCAUUUAACACAAGCAUUUUUUCACCAAACAUAUUAAUUGCAUAUUAUUAGAUUCACCAAACAUUUUUGCUUAUUAUUAGAUUCAACGUUCAAAUUUGCGAACACUUGACCUAAUGUUUAUUUCCAUAUCUAAUAGAUAAAAUAAUCUAUGCUUACAUAUUGGUAUUGUAAACGAUAAAUCCAACGAAGUAGCCUUUCUAGAAUUUUUAAUUGCCUCAAAUGUUUGUUUUACACUUCGAUUUUUGUAGCCUCCUCCCUUAAUUUUUUUACGAACGCUGCCAAAUCUUUGAAAGAGUUCCCACCUUCUUUAAUGCCAUUAAUUGCAACUUUUCGUAGCUCCGAUGCACGAAGUCUUCGCUCUUCUACGUUGUUUCCUUGCACAGCUUCCGCCAGUAAGUUAGCCAACUCGUCCGAAUUUGGUACCGUUUGCGCACCUUCACAAGCUCUAAUAGCUACCUCAUGCUCGUCAACUAAAAGGUUCGCAUUGGCAAAUUGGUCAGCACCCAUCGGCCAUGUUAACAUUGGUACACCGGCUAUUAAACUUUCGAGAGUCGAAUUCCAACCACAGUGAGUUAAGAAUGCGCCUAUAGCUUGGUGUUUUAAAAUCAACACUUGCGGGGCCCAGUCUCUAACAAUCAGGCCCCGUCCAGCCACUUUUUCCUCAAACCAAGACGGAAUCACGCCGUAAUCAUUUGAAGCGUGUCCUUUGGUGGCUCUUUUUGCUGACAAAAUGAACUUGACACCACUUUUGUCCAAAGCUAUGGCUAAUUCCUCCAUUUGUUUGUUUGUUAACACAGCUUGACUGCCGAAACAGACGUAUACAACCGAGUGAUCUUCACAUUUGUCGAGCCAUGCUAGUAUUUCACUAGCUAAAACAGAGCUCGAACCGCCUCUGUUUGAUUGGCCGGAGACAUCAUCUUCUCCCGGAGGAAGUACUGGUCCAACAGACCAAAACCCUGUUGUGACCCAAAUCUUUCAUCAGAUAAUUCAAAUACACAUUUUCCAAUUCCAUAAACGUGUUGAAAACGAUUCCGUCACUUGCUAUAUCAGCGAGAUAGCAUUCUCUGAUGAAGUCCGAACUUGGGUCUCCUACAACAUAACUCCGGUAAAUAGGAGAGAGCUGCCAGAAAGGGAAUUUCGGGGAAUUGGGGAUAUUGGGGAAGUGGAAAUUUUCGUUUUCAUCGUUCGGGUCUUUCCUUUUGGGCAUUUCACGCCAAAGUGAAUAAACAACAGAUAGGGC